CCACGAUGUUGAUGAAGAGGCGCCGCCAUUAUCAUUGGAACGCAUUGUAGGUUCUACAAUUUUUUUUUAAUCUAUCCUAUUCUGAAGAUAAAUUCCACAUUUAUAGGUCAACCUUCUCAUUUAUAUUGACAGAAUAUACAAUUACUACAUGUAUUAAUUGAUGAAAAAUUAAGGAACUGUUGAACAUGUUGAAAAUGCAUGGAGAAAUUUGUUGGGCAAGGCACAGACAUUAAGCUUAAGGCUAACAUCAGAAAACCUCUGGAUUCUUGGAACUGUUUAUCACAUGCAAAUUAUGAACACGGCAUGAUCAAAUCAGAAAGGUUUGAAAAAAGCUUAAAGAAUUUUCAGUUUCACUUGACAGCUUAAAGAAUUUUCAGUUUCACAGGAGUGCAGGAUGAUUUCAGAUAUGAUCACCACACAGUACAGGGAAGAAGUUUUAAAAGACACAUCAUGUGUGAGAUAAUUUCUAUGAUGAAAAGUGAGCUAGAAGUAAGGUGCAAACCAUGAAAGUACCUGACAAGUGGACUUGCAAGAUCUGGUGGAAGUGAAAAAUUGUGAAUUGUUGAAGAAGCACAUUAAAAGAAUAUCUGACUUCAUUGGAAGAUGCAAUUGAACAGUUUAAUAAACCAGCUCAAUCAAAUCUAGAUCAUUGUUCCAAUACUCCAGCCAAAAGAUUUAUCAUUAGAAUUCCAGGAAUUCACAGGAACAGAUGUAUUUUAUGGUUUGAUCCUAAACACUAUCAUCAUUGUUAUGGGGUUAAUAUUAUACCAGGCUAUUGAGUCUGAGGAUGGAAAAGUUCUUUUCCUUAGUUUACUGUUAAAAUGGGAACCUAAAUUAUGAAAAGAAGCUUUUUUUCUGGCAUGUGAUAGUAAUUAUUUUAUUGAAGUUGUAUACUGAAUUUACCCUGCAUCCAUUUUCUUCUUGCCACGCCUUUGGCUAAUGCUUUAAGCUGUUUUCAUGAAACUUUAAUGAAUCAUUUAUUUGUAUUGAAAUGAGCUACCUUUUGUUUUAUAAUAGAAAUUUUAGAUUUUCUUUUCCUAGCUAUGGGGAUUUUGAUUUUUUUUUUAAAAGGGGGAUUUUCCAGUUUUUGGACAAUAACUCAUGAGUGCUUUGAGCAGUUUUCAUGGAACUUUGAUGACUGCCUUAUUUCUAUUGAAGUGAGCUCCUUUUAACUUUUUUUUUUAAUUUCUGAUAUGACAUAUGGAAUGUUAUAAAUGAGAGGCAUAUCAUAUGCUCAUUGCACUGCUGUAUAUUUAAUUAGUACAUUGUAAAUUCUAUUUCUCAAAUAAGUUUUUUGUUUAACAUCUUUUUGUCGAGCCUUCGACUUUAGUCGAAAAAGCGAGACUAAGCAUCGGCGUCCACAAAUAUUUAUUCUGUGGUUAAAGUUUUUGAAAUUUUAAUAACUUUCUUAAACUAAACUGGAUUUCUACCAAGCUUGGAAAGAAGCUUGUUUAUGAUUAUAAGAUAGCAUCCAGAAGUUCAUUUUGUAAAAAUAAAAUUCCAUUUUUUCUGUAUUUUACUUAGUUUUUCUGCGGGGAAACAUUACAUUCACUCUGUGGUUAAGGUUUUUAAAAUUUUAAUAACUUUCUUAAACUGUCCUGGGUUUGUACCAUACUUGGACAGAAGCUUGUUUAUGAUCAUAAGAUAGUAUCCAGAAGUAAAUGUUGUAAAAAAAAUCAUUUUUUUUCGUAUUUUACUUAUAAAUGGACUUAGAUUUUCUUCCAGUUAACAUUACAUACAGUCUGCAGUUAAAGUUUUUAAAACAAUUAUUAGAUUAAAAAACUUCCCUGGAUUUUUACCAAACUUGGACAGAAGCUUCUUACAAUCAAAAGAUAGUAUCAAGAGGAAUAUUUUUAUUGAUUUUUGUCCUCACUUUUGUUGAGUCUGCAAUAUACAGCAAAAGUAGGCAAGACACCAGAUUCCGUGAAACCCUUACAAUUUUUUUUUUUUUUUUUUUUUUUUUUUUUUUUUUUUUUUUUAAAGUUUUUUAAAGUUCCUCAUGCUCAUUUUUCUCUUACCUGUUUUAUUGUGAAUUUUUAAGUUUUUAACCAAUUGUAACCGGUUGACUUUUGUUUUUAAACAUCAAUUAUGGCAUCAACUAUUUGUUGUGAUGUUUUUUUGUUGUUGUAAACUUUGAUAUGUGAGAAACAAUAAAUGUCCGAUGUUUCAUUGUGAAUGUCACAUGUUUUGUAUCUUGAGUAGCAAUCUGGUAUUCUUAAAAGGAACAUUUGUUUAAUCUGAACUUCCAACCUCAUUUAGAAACCAACUUACACUUUAUUUUCUGAAAAUAUUUAACCAUAUCUAAAUUAAUCCUGCAAGUACCAAGAUAGGCUUUAGGAUUUUGUGAAUGGAAAAGAAAACAUUGUCUGGUAUUGUAAGGACUAUUAUGGGUACAAUUUGUUUCCACAUUUAUGAAAUUUAUAUCAAAGGUUUAUACAUGUAUCAGCAACGUCUCAUCCAAAUAUAUAUCUGUUUUCAGUGAUUGUGAUGAAUUUUAUAUUAUAUAUCUGUUAUCUGUUUUCUUUAAAAUAUGUAUAACUAUCUAGUUUUCUUGUAUGAAGCAAAAUGUUAUGUUAUGUUAAUUUCAAGGUUAAUUAUUUUAACUUUGAUAUUUAUUUUUUCACUAUGAAAUCAAAAAGACUUGACAUAUUUUUUUUGUUUUUUUCAUGUCAAUAAAGUUUAUAACCGUUUCUUAUUAUUACUAAUACACUGAGGCACACAUUGUGUGCAACAAGAGCAACUCAAUAUACUAUACAAAAUGAUAAAUUGGUCAAUAAAUAUGACAAGAGAAGAAAAAACGCAACCCUUUUAUCACUAAGGGUGAAAAGAGUUUUUAUAAGUAUUUGUGAAAUAUGAUCAGGGUAGUACUAGCAUAGGACAACAUUUUCCAGAUACAUAUUCGAUGGGUAAAAACUCAAUAAAUACUUAUAAGUGUCAUUUUUUAUGCUUCAGUCAAAAAUGAGAAAUAUAUUUAUUGUUGCUUUAAGGGUAUAAAAUGUGUUAGGUUUAUGUUUUCUAUUGAAGAUUUGGAAGUGAUAUUAAAUGAGUAUUUCUUAUGGUAUAUAUCCUUUGUAGAAAUUAAAUUUUUAGUUGCCUUUUUAAUAAAGCAAUCAUUUAUUAUUAUGAAAUGUUUGUGUUUGUUGCAAAUCUCAAAUGGUUUUAACAGCAAAAGCAGAACAGUAGAAAAAAAACAAAUUGACCACAGCAAGUCUUUUAGAAAUUAAAGUAAUAAGUAAAAAGCUGCAUUGGUCAUGAUGUACAUAAUGUUGUUGAUUAGAAAAUCUUGUAUUUCCUGGAUGUCAUAAACAGUUUGUGUACAAGUAAAAUACAAUUUCCAGUUGCAUUAACAAUAAUAAAAUGGUAUGGCUAUUGAAAUGGUGUUUAAAUGAUAAAUCAAAGUCUUUGAUUCUUGGGAUUAUGAAAAAUGCUGGAUCUAACUGCACAUCUAGAAUUUGGACCCCACUUUAAAUUGGUCCAUAUUAAAGUCCAAAGGAUCCAAAUUGUUUGAUUUCCAACAAAUAUUUA